rnacentral:rRNA from 1 species
GACGUAGGAGGCAAGCGUUGUCCGGAGUCAUUGGGCGUAAAGGGCGCGUAGGUGGCCCGGUCAGUUCGUGGUGAAAGCGCGGGGCUCAACCCUGCGUCGGCCAUGAAUACUGCCGCGGCUGGAGCACUGUAGAGGCAGGCGGAAUUCCGGGUGUAGCGGUGGAAUGCGUAGAGAUCCGGAAGAACACCGGUGGCGAAGGCGGCCUGCUGGGCAGUUGCUGACACUGAGGCGCGACAGCGUGGGGAGCAAACAGG